rnacentral:rRNA from 1 species
UACAGAGGGGGCAAGCGUUGUUCGGAAUUACUGGGCGUAAAGGGCGCGUAGGCGGCCCGCUAAGUCGAACGUGAAAUCCCUGGGCUCAACCCAGGAACUGCGUCCGAUACUGGUGGGCUUGAAUCCGGGAGAGGGAUGUGGAAUUCCAGGUGUAGCGGUGAAAUGCGUAGAUAUCUGGAGGAACACCGGUGGCGAAGGCGACAUCCUGGACCGGUACUGACGCUGAGGCGCGAAAGCCAGGGGAGCAAACGGG